GCACAAGCGGUGGAGCAUGUGGUUUAAUUCGACGCAACGCGAAGAACCUUACCCAGGCUCGAACGGCAUCUGACAUCCUACGAAAGUAGGCUCCCGCAAGGGCAGGUGUCGAGGUGCUGCAUGGCUGUCGUCAGCUCGUGUCGUGAGAUGUUGGGUUAAGUCCCGCAACGAGCGCAACCCUUGUCUUCUGUUGCCAUCAGGUCAAGCUGGGCACUCUGAAGAGACUGCCGGUGACAAACCGGAGGAAGGUGGGGAUGACGUCAAGUCAGCAUGGCCUUUAUGUCUGGGGCCACACACGUGCUACAAUGGCAGGUACAAACCGUCGCGAGACCGCAAGGUGGAGCUAAUCGGAGAAAGCCUGUCUCAGUUCGGAUUGUAGGCUGCAACUCGCCUGCAUGAAGUUGGAAUCGCUAGUAAUCGCGGAUCAGCACGCCGCGGUGAAUACGUUCCCGGGC
rnacentral:rRNA from 1 species